rnacentral:rRNA from 1 species
GACGAACGCUGGCGGCGUGCUUAACACAUGCCAGUCGAACGGAAAGGCCCCUUUGGGGGUACUCGAGUGGCGAGCGGGUGAGUAACACGUGAGUAACCUGCCCUUGACUUCGGGAUAACUUCAGGAAACUGGGGCUAAUACCGGAUAGGAAUCCUUGCUGCAUGGUGGGGGUUGGAAAGCUUCGGCGGUUUUGGAUGGACUCGCGGCUUAUCAGCUUGUUGGUGGGGUAGUGGCUUACCAAGGCUUUGACGGGUAGCCGGCCUGAGAGGGCGACCGGCCACAUUGGGACUGAGAUACGGCCCAGACUCCUACGGGAGGCAGCAGUGGGGAAUAUUGCACAAUGGGCGGAAGCCUGAUGCAGCAACGCCGCGUGCGGGAUGACGGCCUUCGGGUUGUAAACCGCUUUCAGCAGGGGCGAAGCUUGUGGUGACGGUACCUGCAGAAGAAGCACCGGCUAACUACGUG